GAGGAACAAAGGCCCUGUUGAGUCCUGGAGGUAUUCCCUUCUCACCCAGUAUAGCCACAUCCAUGUUGCUCCCUGGGAACCAGUGGGGCAGGGAAAGAAACAAGGUGCUGUUCAGAGCUCAUGUCUGGCAGAACCCUGUAGCUGAAAGCCAUUCCUUUGAACCACUAAAAAUGGGUGGUAAAGACUUUCAGACACGGAGGGAAGGGAAGGAAGGAAGGAAGAAAGGAAGAGGUGAAAUGAAGAAAACAAUAAGCUUUCCAUAUUUGUCCAGUUGUUUGUUUCUAAGGAUGCAGAUAAAGCGGCACAACUCUGAUACUGAUCUACACCAUCUGAGAAUCUGGCCAUGGGAGGCUCUUCUUCUCUAGAUUUCAAAGAUGAUAGUUCUUUUUUCCUUCAACC